rnacentral:tRNA from 1 species
GUGGUGGCUCAGUGGUAGAGGGCCUCUCUAGCAUGUGUGAGGCACUGAGUUCAAUUCUCAGCACCACA